AAGCAUUGUGAGAAGUUGACCAAAACAAGAGAAAAACAAAGAUGGCAACUUCACACAAUUAAUUGUUCUCCAAAUACUCACUCUAACUCCUUUGCUUUGUUUCAAGAUUCUCAUAGGUUGAUAUUUGAUCCGGGAGGACACACCUUGACGAAGCAAGAGGCUGCUAUCCGAGAUCAAGUUAGCAAAUCUGAGGAUAGAUCUUUUCCCGAAGGAGGAGAUGAUGGACACCAUCCAGCCACAACAAGCCCCCUCAAAAGCAAAAGCUUUGGAUUUGAGGACAAAUCCUUUUCAAGAGGGAGGGGAUGAUGGAGGAGGGCCCGAGCUCACCACACGAUGAAAGCCAA
rnacentral:lncRNA from 1 species